rnacentral:rRNA from 1 species
AGCGAACGCUGGCGGCAGGCUUAACACAUGCAAGUCGAACGCCCGUAGCAAUACGGGAGUGGCAGACGGGUGAGUAACACGUGGGAACGUGCCCUUCAGUUCGGAACAACCCAGGGAAACUUGGGCUAAUACCGGAUACGUCCGUAAGGAGAAAGAUUUAUCGCUGAAGGAUCGGCCCGCGUCUGAUUAGCUAGUUGGUGAGGUAACGGCUCACCAAAGGCGACGAUCAGUAGCUGGUCNGAGAGGACGAUCAGCCACACUGGGACUGAGAC